CCUACGGGUGGCAGCAGUGGGGAAUAUUGCACAAUGGGGGGAACCCUGAUGCAGCAACGCCGCGUGGGUGAAGAAGUACUCCGGUAUGUAAAGCCCUGUCAGCAGGGAAGAAAAUGACGGUACUUGACCAAGAAGCCCCGGCUAACUACGUGCCAGCAGCCGCGGUAAUACGUAGGGGGCAAGCGUUAUCCGGAUUUACUGGGUGUAAAGGGAGCGUAGACGGCAAGGCAAGUCUGGAGUGAAAGCCCGUGGUCCAACCACGGGACUGCUUUGGAGACUGUGUUGCUGGAGUGCAGGAGGGGUAAGCGGAAUUCCUAGUGUAGCGGUGGAAUGCGUAGAUAUUAGGAAGAACACCAGUGGCGAAGGCGGCUUACUGGACUGUAACUGACGUUGAGGCUCGAAGGCGUGGGGAGCAAACAGGAUUAGAUACCCUUGUAGUC
rnacentral:rRNA from 1 species